rnacentral:rRNA from 1 species
GGAGUCCUACGGGGGGCAGCAGUGAGGAAUAUUGGUCAAUGGUCGGGAGACUGAACCAGCCAAGCCGCGUGAGGGAGGAAGGUACAGAGUAUCGUAAACCUCUUUUGUCAGGGAACAAAGACUGGGACGCGUCGCCGGAUGAGUGUACCUGAAGAAAAAGCAUCGGCUAACUCCGUGCCAGCAGCUGCGGUAAUACGGAGGAUGCGAGCGUUAUCCGGAUUUAUUGGGUUUAAAGGGUGCGCAGGCGGUCUGUUAAGUCAGCGGUCAAAGCCCGGGGCUCAACCCCGGCCCGCCGUUGAAACUGG